rnacentral:rRNA from 1 species
CCGUCUUUGACACGGACUACCAGGGCUUUGUGAUGCGCUCUCAAAGAGUCGAGUUGUUUGGGAAUGCAGCUCUAAAUGGGUGGUAAAUUCCAUCUAAAGCUAAAUAUUGGCGAGAGACCGAUAGCGAACAAGUACCGUGAGGGAAAGAUGAAAAGAACUUUGGAAAGAGAGUUAAACAGUACGUGAAAUUGUUGAAAGGGAAACGCUUGAAGUCAGUCGCGUUGGCCAGGAAUCAACCUUGCUUCUCUGCUUGGCGUACUUUCUGGUUGACGGGUCAGCAUCAAUUUUGAUCGGUGGAUAAAGGUUAGGGGAAUGUGGCAUCCUCGGAUGUGUUAUAGCCUCUGGUCGCAUACAUCGGUUGGGAUUGAGGAACUCAGCACGCCGCAMGGCCGGGUUUUAACCACGUACGUGCUUAGGAUGCUGGCAUAAUGGCUUUAAUCGACCCGUCUUGAAACACGGACCAAGGAGUCUAACAUGCACGCGAGUGUUUGGGUGGAAAACCCGAGCGCGUAAUGAAAGUGAAAAUUGAGAUCCCUGUCGCGGGGAGCAUCGAUGCCUGGACUUGAUCUUUUGUGACGGUUCCACGGUUGAGCGUGUAUGCUGGGACCCGAAAGAUGGUGAACUAUGCCUGAAUAGGGUGAAGCCAGAGGAAACUCUGGUGGAGGCUCGUAGCGAUUCUGACGUGCAAAUCGAUCGUCAAAUUUGGGUAUAGGGGCGAAAGACUAAUCGAACCAUCU